CGUGUAGGCGGUCAUGUAAGUCAGAUGUGAAAGCCUUCCGCUUAACGGAAGAAGUGCAUUUGAAACUACAUGACUGGAGUACGGGAGAGGAGAGUGGAAUUCCCGGUGUAGAGGUGAAAUUCGUAGAUAUCGGGAGGAACACCAGUGGCGAAGGCGGCUCUCUGGCCUGAUACUGACGCUGAGACGCGAAAGCGUGGGGAGCAAACAGGAUUAGAUACCCUGGUAGUCCACGCCGUAAACGAUGGGCACUAGGUGUAGGAGGUAUUGACCCCUUCUGUGCCGAAGCUAACGCAUUAAGUGCCCCGCCUGGGGAGUACGGCCGCAAGGUUAAA
rnacentral:rRNA from 1 species